rnacentral:ncRNA from 1 species
GAUAGCCCCCUGUCGCUACUGUGAUUGGACACUGACACAGAGUCAACUAGCCUUGUUCGCGCGGUUCUUCGUGCGCGGAACCGGGGACGGUCCGAGCCACGAGGGGGGAGGCUCGGACCGUCCGUC